GCACUGAUGGUUCAGUGGUAGAAUUCUCACCUUUCAUAUGUGAAACGCACGUUCAAUUCUGGCCAGUGCA
rnacentral:tRNA from 1 species